GUUUCCUGCUAUAUGAGGUACUGGGAAGUGAGUUGAAGAUUAUGGGACGAACUAACGGAAAAGGAGAUGCAAAGAUGACAGAAAGGAAAAUGCACAUCUAUUUUGCAGACCUAAAGAUAUCAGUCGCCGCUCACCUACACUUCAGGAAAAUUGAUGAACGAAGUGCAGUUCUUCUUCUCAGACCUAUUUUUCAUUCAGUUUGGAACUAGUGCCCCCUGCAUCUGUGGAUCAAUUUAUUGCCUGGCAUUCGAUGUCGGUGACAAUCUACCCGAACGACUCAUGUAUUGUAUUUUGUUCGUAUACUACAU